UAGCUGGUUACCCGAUAAAAGAAUUUUAGUUCUACCUAAAGCCCCCAACAAGUACUAUAAACUAAUACUAAUGCUUUAGAGUUAUUCAAAUAAGGUACAGCCUGUUUGAACAAGGAAACAACCUAAACUAAUGGGUUAGUUUUGCCAUAAUGUACCAAAGUGGGCCUAAAAGCAGCCAUCUUAUAAAAAUAGCGUCAAAGCUUUCCUACAUGCGCACACCAAUUUCUUAACCUAAUCUAAACCCUUUAUUUUCAUCGAGUACUUCUAUACACCUAUAGAAUAUAAAAUGUUAAAACUAGUAACAAGAAGAAAAUUCUUCUCUUAAAUGUCAGUGUAAGCCAGAAAGGAUAAACCACUGUCAAUUAACACUAAUGAUUUUUAAUUAGUAACACCACAAGAAACCCCUAAUAAAACAAAUGUUAAACUGACACAAGAACAUUUCAAGAAAGAUUAAAAGAAAAAGAAGGAACUCGGCAAAUACCAACCCCGCCUGUUUACCAAAAACAUCGCCUCUUGACAAACAUAAGAGGUCCAGCCUGCCCAGUGACCUAGUUCAACGGCCGCGGUAUCCUAACCGUGCGAAGGUAGCGUAAUCACUUGUUCUUUAAAUGAGGACUAGUAUGAAUGGCACCACGAGGGUUACACUGUCUCCUUUUUUUAAUCAGUGAAACUAAUCUUCCCGUGAAGAAGCGGGAGUUUUUUUAUAAGACGAGAAGACCCUAUGGAGCUUUAAACAAAUUAACACUUGCUGCCUAAAAUUACUCUUCCAGAAACACAAUAUACAGCAUAGCAUCAUGAUUAAUAGUUUUCGAUUGGGGUGAUCACGGAGUAAAAAAUAACCUCCAUGCCGAAGGGGCCCUCCCCUGAGCAAAAAGCCACAACUUUAAGCACUAAAAAAUUAACGUUUAUUGACCCAAUAUUUUGAUCAACGAACCAAGUUACCCUAGGGAUAACAGCGCAAUCCACUUCAAGAGCUCCUAUCGACAAGUGGGUUUACGACCUCGAUGUUGGAUCAGGGUACCCCAGUGGUGCAGCCGCUACUAACGGUUCGUUUGUUCAACGAUUAAAACCCU
rnacentral:rRNA from 1 species